UACGGGGGGGGCAAGCGUUGUUCGGAAUUACUGGGCGUAAAGGGCGCGUAGGCGGCCUACUAAGUCGGACGUGAGAUCCCUCGGCUCAACCGGGGAACUGCGUCCGAUACUGGUGGGCUCGAAUCCGGGAGAGGGAUGUGGAAUUCCAGGUGUAGCGGUGAAAUGCGUAGAUAUCUGGAGGAACACCGGUGGCGAAGGCGGCAUCCUGGACCGGUAUUGACGCUGAUGCGCGAAAGCCAGGGGAGCAAACGGG
rnacentral:rRNA from 1 species